rnacentral:tRNA from 1 species
GGAUGUAUGGCUGAGUGGUUUAAAGCAUGGUAUUUGAGCUACCAAGACAUUGGUCCACGUGUUCGAAUCACGUUGCAUCCG